AACGAACGCUGGCGGCAUGCCUAACACAUGCAAGUCGAACGAGGUCUUCGGGUCUAGUGGCGCACGGGUGCGUAACGCGUGGGAAUCUGCCCUUUGGUUCGGAAUAACAGUUGGAAACGACUGCUAAUACCGGAUGAUGACGAAAGUCCAAAGAUUUAUCGCUAGAGAAUGAGCCCGCGUAGGAUUAGCUAGUUGGUGUGGUAAAGGCGCACCAAGGCGACGAUCCUUAGCUGGUCUGAGAGGAUGAUCAGCCACACUGGGACUGAGACACGGCCCAGACUCCUACGGGAGGCAGCAGUGGGGAAUAUUGGACAAUGGGCGAAAGCCUGAUCCAGCAAUGCCGCGUGAGUGAUGAAGGCCUUAGGGUUGUAAAGCUCUUUUACCCGGGAUGAUAAUGACAGUACCGGGAGAAUAGGCUCCGGCUAACUCCGUGCCAGCCGCCGCCGUAA
rnacentral:rRNA from 1 species